GAUGAACGCUGGCGGCGUGCCUAAUACAUGCAAGUCGAGCGAACAGACGAGGAGCUUGCUCCUCUGACGUUAGCGGCGGACGGGUGAGUAACACGUGGAUAACCUACCUAUAAGACUGGGAUAACUUCGGGAAACCGGAGCUAAUACCGGAUAAUAUAUUGAACCGCAUGGUUCAAUAGUGAAAGACGGUUUUGCUGUCACUUAUAGAUGGAUCCGCGCCGCAUUAGCUAGUUGGUAAGGUAACGGCUUACCAAGGCGACGAUGCGUAGCCGACCUGAGAGGGUGAUCGGCCACACGGGAACUGAGACACGGUCCAGACUCCUACGGGAGGAAGCAGUAGGGAAUCUUCCGCAAUGGGCGAAAGCCUGACGGAGCAACGCCGCGUGAGUGAUGAAGGUCUUCGGAUCGUAAAGCUCUGUUAUUAGGGAAGAACAAAUGUGUAAGUAACUAUGCACGUCUUGACGGUACCUAAUCAGAAAGCCACGGCUAACUACGUG
rnacentral:rRNA from 1 species